rnacentral:tRNA from 1 species
AAUAAAAUGGCUGAGGUUUAAGCGAUAAAUUGUAAAUUUAUUUACGAGAUAGUUCUCUUUUAUUA